GAUGAACGCUAGCGGGAGGCCUAACACAUGCAAGCCGAGCGGUAUUUGUCUUUCGGGACAGAGAGAGCGGCGUACGGGUGCGGAACACGUGUGCAACCUGCCUUUAUCUGGGGGAUAGCCUUUCGAAAGGAAGAUUAAUGCCCCAUAAUAUAAUGAAUGGCAUCAUUUAUUAUUGAAAACUCCGGUGGAUAGAGAUGGGCACGCGCAAGAUUAGAUAGUUGGUGAGGUAACGGCUCACCAAGUCGAUGAUCUUUAGGGGGCCUGAGAGGGUGAUCCCCCACACUGGUACUGAGGCACGGACCAGACUCCUACGGGAGGCAGCAGUGAGGAAUAUUGGACAAUGGGUUAGCGCCUGAUCCAGCCAUCCCGCGUGAAGGACGACGGCCCUAUGGGUUGUAAACUUCUUUUGUACAGGGAUAAACCUACUCUCGUGAGAGUAGCUGAAGGUACUGUACGAAUAAGCACCGGCUAACUCCGUGCCAGCAGCCGCCGUAA
rnacentral:rRNA from 1 species